UGCAAAAUCAGAUAAUCAUUUGAAUGGGACUUGCCCAAAGUCUAUUUAGUUGCAGAAUUGAAGUAACGUAAUAGUCUUGUUAAAGAUAUGAUACGUUAUAAUAUGGGGGAUAAUCCUUUUACUUCCUGAUAUUGGGAGUCCUCCUAGCAUAUUAUAUUUUCAUACCACUUCCAGAUGUUAAGGAGUAAUGAAAAAUAAGGCUGUUUAAUGCUGUUAUAAAAAUAGCAUCAUAUUUGAAACCAAGACUGCUGGAGCGUCCCUUAAAGAAAAGACCUCAAAGCAGCCCUUGAAUGAUGAGGACAUAAUCCCUACAGGGCCAAGAGGGGGAGGGGAGGUUUCAAUAACAAGUAAAACAGAGUCAGCCUAUUUCAGGGGAAAAAACCAUCAUCACAGGAGAGUGAGGCAAGCAAGAAA